AUGAACGCUGGCGGCGUGCCUAAUACAUGCAAGUCGAGCGAACGGACGAGAAGCUUGCUUCUCUGAUGUUAGCGGCGGACGGGUGAGUAACACGUGGAUAACCUACCUAUAAGACUGGGAUAACUUCGGGAAACCGGAGCUAAUACCGGAUAAUAUUUUGAACCGCAUGGUACAAAAGUGAAAGACGGUCUUGCUGUCACUUAUAGAUGGAUCCGCGCUGCAUUAGCUAGUUGGUAAGGUAACGGCUUACCAAGGCAACGAUGCAUAGCCGACCUGAGAGGGUGAUCGGCCACACUGGAACUGAGACACGGUCCAGACUCCUACGGGAGGCAGCAGUAGGGAAUCUUCCGCAAUGGGCGAAAGCCUGACGGAGCAACGCCGCGUGAGUGAUGAAGGUCUUCGGAUCGUAAAACUCUGUUAUUAGGGAAGAACAUAUGUGUAAGUAACUGUGCACAUCUUGACGGUACCUAAUCAGAAAGCCACGGCUAACUACGUG
rnacentral:rRNA from 1 species